CUCAUCUAGAGACCCAAAGCCAAAACUCAGCUGACAGGAAUGUUUCAAAGGACACAAAGAGAGAUGUGGAUUCAAAGUCACCAGGGAUGCCUUUAUUUGAAGCAGAGGAAGGAGUCCUAUCACGAACCCAGAUAUUUCCUACCACUAUUAAAGUCAUUAAUCCAGAACUUCUGGAGGAGCCACCUGCACUUGCAUUUUUAUAUAAGGAUCUGUAUGAAGAAGCAGUUGGAGAGAAAAAGAAGGAAGAGGAGACAGCUUCUGAAGGUGACAGUGUGAAUUCUGAGGCAUCAUUUCCCAGCAGAAGUUCUGACACUGAUGAUGGAACAGGAAUAUAUUUUGAGAAGUACAUACUCAAAGAUGACAUUCUCCAUGACACAUCUCUAACUCAAAAGGACCAGGGCCAAGGUCUGGAAGAAAAGCGAGUUGGUAAGGAUGAUUCAUACCAACCAAUAGCUGCAGAAGGGGAAAUUUGGGGAAAGUUUGGAACUAUUUGCAGGGAGAAGAGUCUGGAAGAACAGAAAGGUGUUUAUGGGGAAGGAGAAUCAGUAGACCACGUGGAGACCGUUGGUAACGUAGCGAUGCAGAAGAAAGCUCCCAUCACAGAGGACGUCAGAGUGGCUACCCAUAAAAUAAGUUAUGCAGUUCCAUUUGAAGACACCCAUCAUGUUCUGGAGCGUGCAGAUGAAGCAGGCAGUCAGGGUAAUGAAGUCGGAAAUGCAAGUCCAGAGGUCAAUCUGAAUGUCCCAGUACAAGUGUCCUUCCCAGAGGAAGAAUUUGCAUCUGGUGCAACUCAUGUUCAAGAAAUACCACUAGAAGAACCUGAAAUCCUGGUCCCACCUGAGCCGAGUGAAGAGAGGCUCCGUAAUAGCCCUGUUCAGGAUGAGUAUGAAUUUGCAGAAUCCCAGCAUAAUGAAGUGGUUCCUCAAGACAUUUUAUCAGAAGAACUGUCUUCAGAAUCCACACCUGAAGAUGUCUUAUCUCAAGGAAAGGAAUCCUUUGAGCACGUCAAUGAAAAUGAAUUUGCUAGUGAGGCAGAACAAAGUACAUCUGCUGAACAAAAAGAGCUGGGCAGCGAGAGGAAAGAAGAAGACCAAUUAUCAUCUGAGUUAGUAACUGAAAAGGCACAAAAAGAGCUGAAAAAGUCCCAGAUUGACACAUACUGUUACACCUGCAAAUGUCCAAUUUCUGCCACUGACAAGAUGUUUGGCACCCACAAAGACCAUGAAGUUUCAACGCUUGACACAGCUAUAAGUGCUGUAAAGGUUCAAUUAGCAGAAUUUCUAGAAAAUUUACAAGAAAAGUCCUUGAAGAUUGAAGCCUUUGUUAGUGAGAUAGAAUCCUUUUUUAAUACCAUUGAGGAAAACUGUAGUAAAAAUGAGAAAAGGCUAGAAGAACAGAAUGAGGAAAUGAUGAAGAAGGUUUUAGCACAGUAUGAUGAGAAAGCCCAGAGCUUUGAGGAAGUAAAGAAGAAGAAGAUGGAGUUCCUGCAUGAGCAGAUGGUCCACUUUCUGCAGAGCAUGGACACUGCCAAGGACACCCUGGAGACCAUCGUGAGAGAAGCAGAGGAGCUUGAUGAGGCCGUCUUCCUGACUUCGUUUGAGGAAAUCAAUGAAAGGUUGCUUUCUGCAAUGGAGAGCACUGCUUCUUUAGAGAAAAUGCCUGCUGCGUUUUCCCUUUUUGAACAUUAUGAUGACAGCUCGGCAAGAAGUGACCAGAUGUUAAAACAAGUGGCUGUUCCACAGCCUCCUAGAUUAGAACCUCAGGAACCAAAUUCUGCCACCAGCACAACGAUUGCAGUUUAUUGGAGCAUGAACAAGGAAGAUGUCAUUGAUUCAUUUCAGGUUUACUGCAUGGAGGAUCCACAAGAUGAUCAAGAAGUAAAUGAGUUGGUAGAAGAAUACAGACUGACGGUGAAAGAAAGCUACUGCAUUUUUGAAGAUCUGGAACCUGACCAAUGCUAUAAAGUGUGGGUGAUGGCUGUGAACUUCACUGGAUGUAGCCUGCCCAGUGAAAGGGCAAUCUUUAGGACAGGUAAGGAGAUGGAUGCUAAGGGUGCGUUAGAAGACAACGCUCAAUUCUUCACAGACUCUUGAGAUCAGCCAGUAAGUGUUUAUUAAGCACCUAUUGUGUGUUGAGUGUUGUGCAAAGUGCUGGUUAUACAACAAUGACUAAGACUGGGGUCCUGUUCUCAAGAAGCUCAUGCUCAGGUGGGGAGAUGGAAAAACAGAGGGUCAUAGAAAAUGUGUGGUAAGGGCCAUAUCCAGAUAUACACAGGUUAUUAUGAGAACACUCCAGAGGGGCACCCAAGUUGGCCUGGGGCAGGAGCAGGAUUGGAACUGCUUCCUAGAACUGAUGCCUGCAGAAAAUGCUUUAAAGGAUCAAUAGGAAGUAAUGCGUUAAAGAAGGAUAUUCCACUUGAAAAAGACAUGAGCAGAGGCAUCAAGGCAAGAAACAGUAUGGAGUGUGCAGGACACUGUAAGAAGUUUGGUGUUAUUUCUUAGACUUAAACAAAGGAAAGACAAGAUGAGAAAGGCUAACAUAGAGAGGCCGUGUUUGCAAGGUAAGAAGCUUGGGCUGUGUGUGGGUGCUGGGAACCCCCAAAAGGUUUUAAGCAGUGGUAUUUAACUGGAAAUGCAUUCUCACGAUGAAAUCUUUUCACAGGGUAUGAAGCCUAAACCAAGGCUGCACUGCCUUUAAGAUAAUGGUAACCUGCCUCAGGGGAAGAAAUAGUUUACUCCUACCCUUUAUCCUUUCCUCUUGCCUUUUAAAACAAGCCUUUAUUGAGCACCUACUGAGGACAAGAUCAUCGCUAACUUGUGUAUACUGGGACAGGGGAAAGAAUCUUUAUUUUGAUUUGCUUGUAUAUGUAUAAAGAAAGUCUAGUGGGAUUUAUAGGAAGCUACUAUUAGGGGCUGUUUGGGGAUGGGUGAGAACUGGGCAAUGUGGAAGGCAGAGAAGGGAGAGAGACAUCACCAUCUAUAUUUGAUCCCUUUUGGGUUUUUAACACAGAAUACAUUUUCUGAUAAAAAAUUAAAAACAGAAUCAUGCCGAAGCCGUGGAAGAUCACGUGCUUCUUAGGUCCCAGGAAAGCAAGCUGGCAUUGCUCCACGACUGUCCUGACUCUCUUUCUGCAGCACCCUCCACUCCUGUGAUCCACGCUGAGGACUGUACUGUGUGUUGGAACACAGCCACUAUCCGAUGGCGGCCCACCACCCCAGAGGCCACGGAGACCUACACUCUGGAGUACUGCAGACAGCACUCUCCUGAGGGAGAGGGCCUCAG
rnacentral:sRNA from 1 species